UACGGAGGGUGCAAGCGUUAUCCGGAUUCACUGGGUUUAAAGGGUGCGUAGGUGGGUUGGUAAGUCAGUGGUGAAAUCUCCGUGCUUAACAUGGAAACUGCCAUUGAUACUACUGAUCUUGAAUUUUCGGGAGGUAAGCGGAAUAUGUCAUGUAGCGGUGAAAUGCUUAGAUAUGACAUAGAACACCAAUUGCGAAGGCAGCUUACUACAGGAAUAUUGACACUGAGGCACGAAAGCGUGGGAGUCAAACAGGA
rnacentral:rRNA from 1 species